UUCAGAUCACCAAUAAACUUUCCGUUG
rnacentral:piRNA from 1 species